UCCCUAGUGGCUCAGUGGUAAAGAAUCUGCCUGCCAAUGCAGGAGACACAGGUUCAAUCCCUGGCCUGGGAA
rnacentral:tRNA from 1 species